UGCCAACAGACAACAUGGAGUCGCAUGAAUGACUUGCCAAUAAUGUGAAGAUACUGAGUCCUGUCAGGUUCAGGGAAGUCGCAUAAAAUUGAUCAUCCUUCAAAGGUAUCUACCUGUGGAUGUUGAGUCCUUACAGCAGGGAGGAG
rnacentral:lncRNA from 1 species